rnacentral:tRNA from 1 species
CAAGUUAAGUUCUAGGAAUGUUGUUAUUUACGAUAAUGAUUAAGUUUGUGCAAAUCAAUCUGGCUUGA